ensembl:rRNA 5_8S_rRNA 5.8S ribosomal RNA
GACUCUUAGCGGUGGAUCACUCGGCUCGUGCGUCGAUGAAGAACGCAGCUAGCUGCGAGAACUAAUGUGAAUUGCAGGACACAUUGAUCAUCGACACUUGAACGCACCUGCGGCCCGGGUUCCUCCGGGCUACGCCUGUCUGAGCGUCG